rnacentral:rRNA from 1 species
UGUUCUCAGUUCGGAUUGUAGUCUGCAACUCGACUACAUGAAGCUGGAAUCGCUAGUAAUCGUAGAUCAGCAUGCUACGGUGAAUACGUUCCCGGGUCUUGUACACACCGCCCGUCACACCACGAGAGUUUGUAACACCCGAAGCCGGUGGAGUAACCAUUUAUGGAGCUAGCCGUCGAAGGUGGGACAAAUGAUUGGGGUGAAGUCGUAACAAGGUAGCCGUAUCGGAAGGUGCGGCUGGAUCACCUCCUUUCUAAGGAUAUAUUCGGAAC